GGCCUGAUAGCACAAUGGUUAGUGCAUCCGCCAGUAUUUGUCUACUAUGAUGCAGGUAUGCAGAUGAUCCCGGUUCGAUUCCGGGUUAGGCCU